GGUCAAGUGAAGAAGCGCAUACGGUGGAUGCCUUGGCAGUCAGAGGCGAUGAAAGACGUGGUAGCCUGCGAUAAGCUUCGGGGAGUCGGCAAACAGACUUUGAUCCGGAGAUCUCUGAAUGGGGGAACCCACUCAGCAUAAGCUGAGUAUCUUGUACUGAAUACAUAGGUGCAAGAGGCGAACCAGGGGAACUGAAACAUCUAAGUACCCUGAGGAAAAGAAAUCAACCGAGAUUCCCUUAGUAGUGGCGAGCGAACGGGGACUAGCCCUUAAGUGGCUUUGAGAUUAGCGGAACGCUCUGGAAAGUGCGGCCAUAGUGGGUGAUAGCCCUGUACGCGAAAAUCUCUUAGUCAUGAAAUCGAGUAGGACGGAGCACGAGAAACUUUGUCUGAAUAUGGGGGGACCAUCCUCCAAGGCUAAAUACUACUGACUGACCGAUAGUGAACCAGUACCGUGAGGGAAAGGCGAAAAGAACCCCGGAGAGGGGAGUGAAAUAGAACCUGAAACCGUAUGCGUACAAGCAGUGGGAGCCUACUUUGUUAGGUGACUGCGUACCUUUUGUAUAAUGGGUCAGCGACUUAUAUUCAGUGGCGAGCUUAACCGAAUAGGGGAGGCGUAGCGAAAGCGAGUCUUAAUAGGGCGCUUAGUCGCUGGGUAUAGACCCGAAACCGGGCGAUCUAUCCAUGGGCAGGUUGAAGGUUAGGUAACACUGACUGGAGGACCGAACCGACUACCGUUGAAAAGUUAGCGGAUGACCUGUGGAUCGGAGUGAAAGGCUAAUCAAGCUCGGAGAUAGCUGGUUCUCCUCGAAAGCUAUUUAGGUAGCGCCUCAUGUAUCACUGUAGGGGGUAGAGCACUGUUUCGGCUAGGGGGUCAUCCCGACUUACCAAACCGAUGCAAACUCCGAAUACCUACAAGUGCCGAGCAUGGGAGACACACGGCGGGUGCUAACGUCCGUCGUGAAAAGGGAAACAACCCAGACCGUCAGCUAAGGUCCCAAAGUCAUGGUUAAGUGGGAAACGAUGUGGGAAGGCUUAGACAGCUAGGAGGUUGGCUUAGAAGCAGCCACCCUUUAAAGAAAGCGUAAUAGCUCACUAGUCGAGUCGGCCUGCGCGGAAGAUGUAACGGGGCUCAAACCAUGCACCGAAGCUACGGGUAUCACUUAGGUGAUGCGGUAGAGGAGCGUUCUGUAAGCCUGUGAAGGUGAGUUGAGAAGCUUGCUGGAGGUAUCAGAAGUGCGAAUGCUGACAUGAGUAACGACAAUGGGAGUGAAAAACUCCCACGCCGAAAGACCAAGGUUUCCUGCGCAACGUUAAUCGACGCAGGGUUAGUCGGUCCCUAAGGCGAGGCUGAAAAGCGUAGUCGAUGGAAAACAGGUUAAUAUUCCUGUACUUCUAGUUAUUGCGAUGGAGGGACGGAGAAGGCUAGGCCAGCUUGGCGUUGGUUGUCCAAGUUUAAGGUGGUAGGCUGAGAUCUUAGGUAAAUCCGGGAUCUUAAGGCCGAGAGCUGAUGACGAGUUGCCAUUAGGCGACGAAGUGGUUGAUGCCAUGCUUCCAAGAAAAGCUUCUAAGCUUCAGAUAACUAGGAACCGUACCCCAAACCGACACAGGUGGUUGGGUAGAGAAUACCAAGGCGCUUGAGAGAACUCGGGUGAAGGAACUAGGCAAAAUGGCACCGUAACUUCGGGAGAAGGUGCGCCGGUGAGGGUGAAGGACUUGCUCCGUAAGCUCAUGCCGGUCGAAGAUACCAGGCCGCUGCGACUGUUUAUUAAAAACACAGCACUCUGCAAACACGAAAGUGGACGUAUAGGGUGUGACGCCUGCCCGGUGCCGGAAGGUUAAUUGAUGGGGUUAGCUAACGCGAAGCUCUUGAUCGAAGCCCCGGUAAACGGCGGCCGUAACUAUAACGGUCCUAAGGUAGCGAAAUUCCUUGUCGGGUAAGUUCCGACCUGCACGAAUGGCGUAACGAUGGCGGCGCUGUCUCCACCCGAGACUCAGUGAAAUUGAAAUCGCUGUGAAGAUGCAGUGUAUCCGCGGCUAGACGGAAAGACCCCGUGAACCUUUACUAUAGCUUUGCACUGGACUUUGAAUUUGCUUGUGUAGGAUAGGUGGGAGGCUUUGAAGCGUGGACGCCAGUUCGCGUGGAGCCAUCCUUGAAAUACCACCCUGGCAACUUUGAGGUUCUAACUCAGGUCCGUUAUCCGGAUCGAGGACAGUGUAUGGUGGGUAGUUUGACUGGGGCGGUCUCCUCCUAAAGAGUAACGGAGGAGUACGAAGGUGCGCUCAGACCGGUCGGAAAUCGGUCGUAGAGUAUAAAGGCAAAAGCGCGCUUGACUGCGAGACAGACACGUCGAGCAGGUACGAAAGUAGGUCUUAGUGAUCCGGUGGUUCUGUAUGGAAGGGCCAUCGCUCAACGGAUAAAAGGUACUCCGGGGAUAACAGGCUGAUACCGCCCAAGAGUUCAUAUCGACGGCGGUGUUUGGCACCUCGAUGUCGGCUCAUCACAUCCUGGGGCUGAAGCCGGUCCCAAGGGUAUGGCUGUUCGCCAUUUAAAGUGGUACGCGAGCUGGGUUUAGAACGUCGUGAGACAGUUCGGUCCCUAUCUGCCGUGGACGUUUGAGAUUUGAGAGGGGCUGCUCCUAGUACGAGAGGACCGGAGUGGACGAACCUCUGGUGUUCCGGUUGUCACGCCAGUGGCAUUGCCGGGUAGCUAUGUUCGGAAGAGAUAACCGCUGAAAGCAUCUAAGCGGGAAACUUGCCUCAAGAUGAGAUCUCACUGGAGCCUUGAGCUCCCUGAAGGGCCGUCGAAGACUACGACGUUGAUAGGUUGGGUGUGUAAGCGCUGUGAGGCGUUGAGCUAACCAAUACUAAUUGCCCGUGAGGCUUGACCAU
rnacentral:rRNA from 2 species